rnacentral:tRNA from 1 species
GCUGGCAUAGUGGUUAAAGUGCUUGGCUGCUAACCAAAAGUUCGGUGGUUUGAACCCACCAGCA